UCAUUGGCUGGAGUGUUUAUGUAAGUG
rnacentral:piRNA from 1 species